GCUAGGCCCCGGCGCAGGCGCGCGCCCAAAGCCUGGCCUGCGUGGUCACAAGGUCGGCUUUGCAGAUUGUGCGUUUGGCGAGAGAGGGUUACCUGAGGUUCUCUGAUGCCUUGAAGAUGUGAAAGUUGCUACACAAAACCUCUGCCCCACUUUGCAAAGUAGUUCAUCACCGAGGUGGCUGUCUCCUUGUUUCUGGGCACCGCCUGCAUUGCUUGGUACAUAGCUCCCUUCCUCCAUCUUCAAAACCAGCAACAGUGAAGUAAGCCUUAUGCAGCCAUCUCUCUGAUUCUCAUUUCAAUUUUCAAGGACGUUUGUGAUUACAUUGAACCCACACAGAUAAUCCAGGAUAAUUGUCCCUACUCUAAUGUCAGCUGGCUAAUAACUUUAAUUCCAUCUGCAAUGUUACCUCCCCUUUGCCACAGAAGAUAACAUCUUCAUAGGUUCCAGAGAUUAUGAUGUAGGUAACCUGGAGGCCAUUAUUCUGCCCAACACAUGUAACUUCUCUGAGGAGCAAUUUGUUAAUAUCUUAAAAAUUUUCAUUUGACUCAGCAAUUCCACUGCUAGAAAUAGAUGUAUAUAUGGGUAUACUUUAAGAUGUACAUCAAAACACACAUUGCAGCACGACUUGUACUCAAAAUAAAUACUGGAAACCACCCCCCUAAUUAAUUAAUUAGAGUCAGACUAAGUCAAUUAUAGUUAAACCUCAAGGUGGAAUACUAUGUGGCAUGGAAAA